rnacentral:lncRNA from 1 species
ACCCUACUCUAAUAAGGUUUGAUAUUUGGAGCUCAUAGGUGGGAGACAGCUAAUACAUACUUACAAGACAUUUAUUGCAUAGUCAAACCAUGGAUCCAGAGAAACAAGUCAAUAAGUCAAAUCAAGAUGUGCAUGUGUGGCGAAUGAAUGGUGUAUGGUGAUGAUGGUGAAAACAUUGGUGAAAAUAAUGGUGAAAGUCUAAUUCUACUUUUGCUCUUUUGAGGGGAUACAUACCUUUCUUGCACUUUGAAGGUUUUUGAGAGGAAUGAGAUGCUCUAUAUUUUCUUUUUUUUCUCUCAGGUGGGUAUCUUGUACCCCUAAUUCUACUGUCGGACACUUGUCCAUUUUUACCUCUCAUCUCACUUUUUAUUUUCUUCGAGGUUUCGGGCACUUGCCUCUUUUUAUUUCCUCGUAUUCACUUUUUUUUCAGAGCACUCACCCUCCUGGAAUAAUGUAGCAAGUGGUAGUAACCAAAAUAUCUCGAGCAUUUAUUUCACGGAGAAUAACAGUGAUAGUAUAAUGUUUUUGGAUAUUCUCUCCUGGAUAGAAGUAGAAUAAUUUUGGGUGAAUCUGGAGAUGGAAAUGAGUGGAUGUAUGUGGAUGCGUACUUCCAGAGUAGAAGCAGCAUGUAUGAGUUAACGUGCAAGUGAAUCUUGAUUUUAACCGCAUGACAAGCUCCUAAGGGUCUACACAGCUUGACCACACUCAAUGCUCAUAAGCAGUAAAAAGUAAAUGUAUGGUUCAUAGUCUAGCAAGCAUGUAUAUAUAGCUGUGGUAGGAUUUUAAACUCUCACCAUACAGGAACUCAUCAUGCAACAUUUUAAAGAUUUUCAAAGAUAAAAUUCUCCAGAAUUCUAGCAUCUCUAGGAACAGAUAAAUAGCAGCUCAACCUUCCCAUAUCGUAUCCGUUAACGACAUAGACUUUAGAUCAAGUACUCUUCCCACAAGUUUAGGUUUAGAGCAAAUAUUAAUUCAUAACAGUCAUGCCUGAACUUGAGAGAGAUUUCAAUUUUGAGAACUAGGCAGAGCAACUAUUCAUUAUUUCCAUGUGAGAGCUUAUCAUGAGGGUUCAUAGCAAACUUUAUUUAUUUAUUUAUUUAGCAAACUAAGAAAAGAUAUAUAUAUAUAUAUAUAUAAGCAUAAAAUCUUUAUUUGAGUUUUUUUAUGAUUAUGCAUCUUUUUAUUAUUUCAGUAAAGUAUAAACGCGAGUAGAAACACUUAGCUGGAUAAAUGGGGGUGCUCUCCCCCAAGCUGGAUUUUGACGUAAUUUCUUCUGAUGUAGCUAGCAGGUGGUGGAGGUGUAUUUGAUUGUCGGCAGUACCCUGACAACGAUUAGGAUGUCCUCUGUUGGGUAUUCUUAACAUCAUUACCAAAAGUAGACUAAGUUCUCUAAAUCUAGUAACGGUGCCAAAAAUGCCAAACCUAUCCCUCACACCACUUAAGCCAAGUUGUCAUCCUCAGCAUGACAUGAGAGACGCGGUAUUGAAAUAUGCAAUUGCUCUUCUAAAUAAAUAAUGAAUGGGAUCUGCAAGCGCACAGAUUAAUACCGAUGUAGCAUUUUAACCGAGAAGUAUUCCAGGUAUCGUUAUUUAUAUUUUUACCACUGGGAAGGGAUUAGCAAUCAUCACUAUUGAUUACAGAACAGAAUAUGAGAUUGAGCAUCUAUCAUUGCAUGUAUAAUUGAGAACAUUAUAUCUAACUCUUCAUACAGGGAUAAGUGUCACAUAAAAGAUAUAUGAAAUAAUAAUAGUGACAAGGAUAACUAAUCUGAUCUAGCCACAUAAUAAAUAUGAUAAGCACCCCAAUUAGAUACUCUAGAAAGUCAUUAGCAUGGUAUUAGAACGAACUACAAGAAUAUUCCCUAAGUUAUUCUCAACUAUAUAGUCUAGCAUUAUCAUAAUUAGUGCAAGCAUACUUAGCAAUCAUUGUGAGACAAGACUACGCCCAUGCAUAGUGAUAUUAGCAAGGUAAAUGAGAAACAUAGCAAUCACUCCCCUGUAAUAAUAUUGCUCUGCCAGCCCAAUACACGAGAGGGGGACUAUAUAAGAAUCAAUGAAGCUGUCACUAUCACGAACCACCCCACGAUCUGGCAUAUUGGGUACAAUCGCAGAUAAAUACGGUAUAAGCACCACGCCUACACAAUAUCUAUCAUUUACCCAUGGAUCCAAUGGAUAAACGCUAUACAAUCCUAAGCAUGUAUAUAGAUCCAAUCUAACUAAGCCAAGUACAUAACUAUGAUAAACUAAGAACAAUAUAAUCUUAAAUAUAAGCAAGUAGAGCAAAGUCAUAAGCAAUAUAUUGAAGUAGAACAAAGUCAUAUUCAUAAUAUUGAAGAACAAAGAUAAUUAGAAAGCAAUUAGAAGCACAAUUAGAGAAUUACCAAGAAUCCUCCUGACAGAUCCGGAAACCAAUCGAAGAUUGACUCCUUCUAGUUCUAAUCCUAUGUAGCUAUGCUAAUCUAGAUAUCUAAUUGAUGUGGUGGCUCUAAUCUUGAUCAGAGGCUUCUUCUCCCUUGAGGAAUAAUGAAUUAGGGUUGAGAGGCUCUCUCCUCCAGGGGCCAGGGGGUCUGAUUUUAUAGUCCCUUCAAGUGAAUAUGGGUCGUUGGAUCAAACCGACAUAGAUUGUAUGGUUUAGAUUCAUCCUUUAGGUCGGUGGAGAUCUCCCACGAAGCAGAGUCCUGAUUGGACUCAGGGAGGGGGCGGGCGCCUAGGGCAGGAGGGCGGGCGCCCUGCCUCUGGCCCCGUUUCGCCUCUGCUUCGGUCUCGUGGCUUCUGGAGUCUUCUAGAUGUAAGAUAAUUGCGCGGCACGUUAAUAUCUCUAUGUAAUCCCGACGUGUGGGCCUUUCUUCCGUAUUUCCUGAUAACCCCCUGCAGAAAUAGACAAACACCAAAACUCGUGGAAUUCUGUCAGAUAAAACCCUAAGUCUAGAUGUUGAUUUCAUUUGGAUCCUUUUCUUUGUUUAUUUGAUAAUUAAAUUUGAUACUUAAGGACCGUCAACAAACUCCCCCAAGCUUACCUCUUGCUCGUCCCUGAGCAAGGAUAGACUCAGCUAUGGAUCAUAAGUUGUUGCAAUAUCUUUACAAAAUUGACGGUACACAUGCUUUUUAAAUAAGAUCUCAUCUCUGAGUUAGAGUAAACUCUCAAGACUUAAAACUUACUUACUUUACCUUCACCAUGGGACUUGUUACCGUCACUUCUGUCUUGAGUGGUUAAAAGAUAGAACAGUCUAGUCAAGUGCCAUGUCUCUUAUUCUUGAUCACCUAUAGCUCUGGGGGUUUUGCAGAUUUUCAAAUAAAACUCAGAGAUUCCUUGUAUGAUUCUCUCAAAUCUCUCUUUUGUGGUAUUUCUAGAUCCUUACCAAGGCAGUGAUGGUAUAUGCCUUCUCUCAAGAUAUGUAGUAUUUGUGGUAUAAGGCAUAGUGAUAUUGCCUUCUCUCUCACCCUACUCUAAUAAGGCUUUAAUAUCUGGAGCUCAUAGGUGGGAGAUAAAAGUAUACAUACAAGACAUGUAUUGUAUAGUCAAACCAUGGAUCCAAAGAAACAAAUCAAUAAGUCAAAUCAAGAUGUGCAUGUGUGGCGAAUGAAUGGUGUAUGGUGAUGAUGGUGAUAACAAUGGUGGAAGUCUAAUUCUACUUUGCUCUUUUGAGGGGAUACAUACCUUCCUUGCUUUUUUGAAAUUUUAUGAGGAGAAUGAGAUGCUCUUCUUUUUCUUUUUUCUCAGGUGGGUAUCUUGUACCCCUAAUUCUACUGUCGGACACUUGUCCAUUUUUACCUCUCGUCUCACUUUUUCUUUUCUUUCGAGGUUCCGAGCACUUGCUCCUUUUUAUUUCCUCGUAUCUUCUUUUCUUUCUCUCUUUUUUUUAGAGCACUCAUCUCUUGAGAUAAUAUAGCAAGUGGCAGUAACAAUAUAACUUGAGCAUUUAUUUCACAAGGGAAAAACAGAAAUAUUUUUGGCUAUUCUCUCCCGGAUUAGGAGUAGAAUAUUUUUGGGUGAUUCUGGAGAUGGAAAUGGGUGGAUAUAUGUGGAUGGUAGUUCCGGAGUAGAAGUAGCAUAUAUGAGUGAACGUGCAAGUGAAUCUUGAUUUAACCACAUGACAAGCUCCUAAGGGUCUACACAGCUUGACCACACUCAAUGCUCAUAAGCAGUAAAUAGUAAAUGUGUGGCUCAAAAUCUAGCAAGCAUGUAUAUAUGGCUGUGGAAGGAAUUUAAACUCUCAUCAUACAGGAACUCAUCAUGCAACAUUUUAAAGAUUUUUCAAAGAUAAAAUUCUCCAGAAUUCUAGCAUCUCUAGGAACACAUAAACAGCAGCUCAACCUUCCCAUAUCGUAUCCGUUAACAACUUAGACUUCAGAUCAAGUUUUCAUCCCACAAGUUUAGGACUAGAGCAAGAUUUAAAUUAUAACAGUUAUGUCUAAACUUGAGAGAGAACUUCAAAUGUGCAAAUUAGGUAGAGCAACUAUUCAUCAUAUCCAUGCUUAAGUUUUAUCUAGAUACAG